CCAAGCCUGUUGACGACUAUAAUCCUCAUGCCUGAGGAAAAGUCAUCCGUUCCGUUCGAAGCCAGAAGAACAAGCAGGGAAGGAAGAUGACCCAGGAUCGGACAUCCACAGGCCUGGUGGACGGGCUGUGCCAGAGACUGAGCCAGGGUGGAAUCCCAAUGAUCCUGAGUAUCGAGGAAAGGGAGGAUGUUUUCGGGGUCUGCUUUUGAAAGCCAUGCAAAGAUGCUCCAGACACCCGUGGGAAACUGCAAAAGUUGGCGAUCGGUCCUGCUACCAGUCCUGCACAGCUACGAGUGGCUGCGUGGAGGGUGCUCAAUAACCGGGUUGAAGCUGAGGAUGAAAAGGAAGACAAGAAGAUGAAAAGGCAGGCCGCCCUGCUCGCUGUGGCCUGCCAGUCUCCUUAAGGAAGGGCGUUGGUGGCAGGAUUGUCCAAACUAUCCCCAGGGAGGGAAGGGAUCGAAGAAGACCGAGCCGUGGCAGUUUCCCUUGACUACAGAGCUGCCACCCUGUUCAUGGCAAAAAGCCACUUGAAUUUUGAACUGUGUUUUAAGAACCAUACAUAUUCCUCAAGUCAAGCACAGUAUCUCA
rnacentral:lncRNA from 1 species